UCGGGAAUUUUGCACAAUGGGGGAAACCCUGAUGCAGCGACGCCGCGUGAGUGAUGAAGCCCUUCGGGGUGUAAAGCUCUUUCGACAGGAACGAUAAUGACGGUACCUGGAGAAGAAGCUGCGGCUAACUACGUGCCAGCAGCCGCGGUAAUACGUAGGCAGCAAACGUUGUUCGGAGUUACUGGGCGUAAAGGGCGCGUAGGCGGCAAUUCAAGUCAUCUGUGAAAUCUCCGGGCUUAACUCGGAACGGUCAGAUGAUACUGCUUUGCUAGAGUGCAGAAGGGGCAAUCGGAAUUCUUGGUGUAGCGGUGAAAUGCGUAGAUAUCAAGAGGAACACCUGAGGUGAAGACGGGUUGCUGGGCUGACACUGACGCUGAGGCGCGAAAGCCAGGGGAGCAAACGGGAUUAGAUACCCCCGUAGUCCCUGAGCGGGCUGGCAAGGCGCAU
rnacentral:rRNA from 1 species